CCUACGGGAGGCAGCAGUGGGGGAUAUUGGACAAUGGGGGGAAGCCUGAUCCAGCGACGCCGCGUGAGGGAGGAAGUAUUUCGGGAUGUAAAGCUCUGUCAGCAGGGAAGAAAGAAAUGACGGUACCUGACCAAGAAGCUACGGGUAACUACGGGCCAGCAGCCGCGGGAAUACGUAGGGGGCAAGCGUGAUACGGAAUGACUGGGGGGAAAGGGAGCGGCGACGGUAUAGUAAGCUCGGGGUGAAAGGCCGGGGCCUAACCCCGGGCCUGCCUUGGAAACUGUUUAACUUGAGUGUAGGAGAGGUAUGCGGAAUGCCUGGUGUAGCGGUGAAAUGCGUAGAUAUUAGGCAGAACCCCAGUGGCGAAGGCGGCUUACUGGACUGUAACUGACGUUGAGGCUCGAAAGCGUGGGGAGCAAACAGGAUUAGAUACCCCUGUAGUC
rnacentral:rRNA from 1 species